UGAGUAGCCACUCAGCUCUUACUUGGCUUCGCACAUUUGGCCCAGAUUAUUCUGAGCAUUGUAAACUAAAAGUGAAAUUCGGUUUCUACUUAAGAGAGAGCGUGAUUUUCCCCAGUAUUAUCUCCUGUGCCCCCAACACUCCACCAGGCUUUAAAGGCCAUUAUACAGAAGGGAGAACUGAGACUCAGGAGAUUGAUGGUUUGUUCAGAAUCGCAGAAGCAGCGUGGAUCCAAGAAGGGAUCUGCUCCCAAACAGAAACCAGUGUCUUGGGAGAGAGAGAGCAGAGGAAGCCCGCACCUCUGCCCUAACCUGAGGCUUUGAGCCUCCCGCAAAGCCGAAGAUGAGGUUUCACUAUAUUGCACAGGCUGGUCUUGAACUGCUGGCCUUAAGCAAUCCUCCUGCCUUGGCCUCCCAAAGUGCUGGAGUUACAGAUGUGAGCCUCUGUGCUCAGCCCAUCCUUGGCUGUUCAAGUGUAGAGGUAAGUAGUAGAUGCCAAGUUUACCUUCAGGUCAGAAGGGGCAGAUGCCCCAGGGCAGAGUCAUAACCCUAACCAGGCCUCCCACUGCAUGAAGACAUUAUGUUCUGAAGCUUAAACCUGGACAAAGGUCUGACCAGUAGCACUGUGUUCAUGAAUAUCAGGUCAAAAAUUUAAAACUGGGACUAUGCAGAAGAACCUGGUAGAUGUAGGUGCAGUCCACAGUCCAAUGGUCAGCCUUGAUAACAAGC
rnacentral:lncRNA from 1 species